rnacentral:lncRNA from 1 species
GUCAACUCAGUUGGUCAAACAGUUGUGUUUCAUAUUUCCCUUAAAAUGGUGUGAGAUAUAGUGUGUAUAUUUCAGUAUGAGUUGUUUUAAGACAAUGAUUGAAAGAAACUGACUUUGUUGAAUAUGCUGGAUUCUGACACAUUAGAAACUUAAAAAAAAAAUUAUUUAAAACAGUCAGCAAGUGGUUAGUAUAGUGGUUAAUUUUAACUCCACACAUUCUAUGUCGUCUCAAAACUGAUAAAGCAACUAGUUCUAAACUGGAUAAGAAGCCUUAAAAAGUAGGUCCUUAUUUAAUAAAAUGUUGAAUAAACGUAAGUGCACUUUAAAGUUAUCCUGCAAAAAGUAUUUUUAUUAGUUAUUAUAUAAUCUUUUUUUAAUUUAUGGCGUAAUAAAUUCAUUCAUACUGACAAUAAAAGUAUUUCUCUAUUUCAACUCAUAUGCAAUGCAGUAUUGGUGUAGUGGGAAGAGCGCUCGCUUUGUAAGCGAGAGGUUUGGAGCUCAACUCCUACCACGUCCCUGGAAGUACCGCGAUCAACUUAGUUUCUUCGCACAGCGGCUCAAGGCUCGUGUUUCGGAGUUAAAGAGUCGAGAAAGAUGCAGUUAUAUAUGACAAAGGUGGUUUGGAAGCGCGCAAUAUUGAAGGACUAGUUGGCGAUCUGAUGAAACGUGCAACCUCGAAAUCGCCCAAAAAAUUGCAACUAUUUAACAUGAGUAUCGUACUAUAAGAAAAAUUUAUAUUGUAAAAUUUAUGCCUUUUUUGUAAAAUAUGAUCUAUCAAUAAAUUGAAUUCUGUUUA